rnacentral:rRNA from 1 species
AGUGGCGAACGGGUGAGUAAAGCAUCGGAACGUGCCCAGUAGUGGGGGAUAGCCCGGCGAAAGCCGGAUUAAUACCGCAUACGACCUAAGGGUGAAAGGGGGGGAUCGCAAGACCUCUCGCUAUUGGAGCGGCCGAUGUCAGAUUAGCUAGUUGGUGGGGUAAAGGCCUACCAAGGCGACGAUCUGUAGCUGGUCUGAGAGGACGACCAGCCACACUGGGACUGAGACACGGCCCAGACUCCUACGGGAGGCAGCAGUGGGGAAUUUUGGACAAUGGACGAAAGUCUGAUCCAGCCAUGCCGCGUGCGGGAAGAAGGCCUUCGGGUUGUAAACCGCUUUUGUCAGGAAAGAAAUCUUCUGGGUUAAUAACUCGGGAGGAUGACGGUACCUGAAGAAUAAACACCGGAUAACUACGUGCCAUCACCCGCGGUAAUACGUAGGGUGCAAGCGUUUAUCAAAUUUUCUGUCUGUAAAGCGUGCGCG